rnacentral:rRNA from 1 species
UACAGAGGCCCCAAGCGUUACUGAGAAUCACUGGGUUUAAAGGGUGCGUAGGUGGUCCGUUAAGUUCGUUGUGAAAUCCCUGGGCUCAACCCAGGAAAUGCUUCGAAUACUGGCGGACUUGAGGCUAGUAGAGGUCACUGGAACUGACGGUGGAGCGGUGAAAUGCGUAGAUAUCGUCAGGAACGCCGAUGGUGAAGACAGGUGACUGGGCUAGUUCUGACACUGAGGCACGAAAGCGUGGGGAGCGAACGGG